UUUUAGCCCCGAUAGAAGCGAAAAUCCUUUGUGGGCUGGGGUUCAGCCCACAAAGAUUGCAGCGUAUAGCGGGACAGUAC
rnacentral:sRNA from 1 species